GCAAAUCUUUUACUCUUCCAUGUAAAAAUUUUCCAGAUCUGUGUGAAAAAAGUUGAUGGCUUCCCUUCAUGCUUUGAAUUGUGCAUAAUGAAUAUGUAGUUAAUCACCAUAAUUCAAAUGGGAUUCAAAUACACUGAAGGUAUUUACAAAAUACUGUGGAAGAAGAACACAGAGGCGGAAGUGAUUAAUUUAUUUCUGGGGAAUUCAGAAAAUGUGUCAUAAAGAAAAUAAUGUUUAUCUAGGUCUUCAAGGAUGAGUUGGAUUUUCCCAGGAGGGAAGGUUAUUUUGGGCAGAGGGAAGAGUAUAUGUGAAAAGUCAUGGUGUCCUGAAAGAAUGUGGCCUUCUGGGGGCACACCAGACUGCAUGCUGUGCACGUUCGGCUGAUGGGGCUGGUGUUGGGAGACAAUGGCGCCAACCCCAUUUGUAUGAUAAGCCCUGACGUGCAAAAGCCAAGCAUGUGCUGUCUCCCGC